GCUUUCGUGGUGUAAUUGGAAGUAUUCCAGACACGUAUUCUAUAGGUCCUGGGUUCGAAUCCCGGCGAGAGCA
rnacentral:tRNA from 1 species